rnacentral:lncRNA from 1 species
CGACGAUAUAAGGUGAGUCAGGAAGCUAAGGCAGACGGCUUGGGUUCUCCCAAAACCCAUCCCAAGGUUGUCCAAAUCAUUCAUCAAAUCUAGUAGAAGCAAUGGCUCAAGACCAAAGAUUUCCGGCCCGCUGAUCGACACGGACAGAGAUCUUGAUAAAAGAUUGGAAAGACUGUUCAAUGAGGUAAAUAUGGUCGAGGCAGGAGAAGGAUCCAGCAUGGCAGAUGUGCAUUUUGUGGGAGAAUGCGCAAAAAUCAAUAACUGGGAAGCCACUCCUCUUCCCACUCUGAGGGAUUCGUGGUAGUCGACUUUGACGUUCCUUUCAGUCUAGUUUGGAUUAGCGUCAGAGUUGUCAAUUCAUUUGUUACUUCCGUCUUUUUGGAUGUGUAAACACUGUUAUCUUUGAUUCUAAUGAAAUGCAAUUUUCCUUUCAGCAAUCUUGAUAAUUUCCAUUUCUCUUUACUUUUCUUUCUUUUCUCUUUUGUACAGUUAUUUUUAUGCUGGUUCCACUGAUCUGACAUGCAUAAGGACUCCUUGGCCCAAUCUUCAAAAUAGGUCUUGUUCAGAAAUAAUAAUUCAGGAAAUAGAACAUGAGGAUGAGCCAGGGUAUGAUGAGGAAGGGGCAUGGGAUGAGAUUAGUAAAGAGUUGACCCAAUUCAAGGAGAAACCAAAACCGAACAUGAAUGAUACCGAGGAAACCAAUUUAGGAAACACGGAUAAUAUCAGAGAAACAUAAAUAAGUGUCCACCUGGAGCCACAGCUCAGGGAAGAAAUAAUUGAAGUGUUGCUUGAGUACAAAGAUGUCUUUGCGUGGUCCUACGACGACAUGACCGGAUUGACCAGUGAUAUGCUGGUCCACAAGUUACCGACUGACCCAUCCUCCCCGCUUGUCAAGAAAAAGUUGAGAAAGUUCAAAAUUGAUGUGAGUGUUAAAAUUAAAGAGGAAGUGACCAAGAAGUUUGAGGGAAAAAUCAUCCGAGUCACACGAUACCCCACCGUUAAAAUCAAAGAGGAAGUAACCAAGAAAUUUUAGGCAAAAGUCAUCUGAGUCAUACGAUACCCUACUUGGUUAGCUAAUGUUGUGCAUGUGUCGAAGAAGGACGGUAAAACCAGGGUGUUGAUUACCAUGACCUCGAUAAAGCAAGUCCAAAAGACAACUUUCCUAUGCUGAACAUCAACAUAUUGAUUGACAAUUGUGCGAAGAAGGAGAUCCGGUGAUUCCUGGAUUGUUACGGAGGACACCACCAGAUCUUGAUGGAUAAAGAAGAUGCGGGGAAAAUAGCAUUCAUCAUACCGUGGGGGACAUAUUGUUAUAGAGUCAUGCUUUUUGGUUUGAAAACAUAGGGGAAACAUAUAUGAGGGCCAUGACAACCAUUUUUUAUGAUAUGAUCCACAAAGAAAUCAAGGUUUAUGUGUGAUAAUCAAGUCCAGAAAGCAAUUUGAUCAUGUCAAAGACCUGAGGAAAUUCUUCCAAAGGCUCUGCAGGUAUGACCUCAAACUCAACCCGGCAAUGUGCAUUUCAGGUCCCCUGGGGGAAAGUUGGUAGGGUUCAUAGUCAGCCGCCGAGGCAUUGAAUUAGACCCAUCAAAAUUCAAAGCUAUACAGGAGCUGCCGCCACCAAGGAACAAAACAGAGGUGAUGAGUCUACUGGGAAGAUUAAAUUACAUCAGUCGGUUCACUGCUCAGCUCAUAACCAUCUGCGAGCCCAUCUAUAAGAUAUUGAAAAUGGAUGCUGUGGUAAAAUGGACUGGAGAGUGUCAAGAGGCUUUAGAUAAGAUAAAGGAAUAUUUAUCGAACCCACCAGUAUUGGUCCCGCCAGAACCAGGAAAGCCUUUGAUCUUAUAUUUGACAGUUUUGGACAACUCAUUUGGGUGCGUGUUGGGUCACCACGAUGUUACCGUGAGGAAAGAGCACGCCAUAUACUACCUUGGAAACAAAUUUACGGCCUAUGAGGUUAAGUAUACUCAUCUUGAAAGGACAUGCUACGCCUUGACGUGGGUAGCCCAAAAGAUAAAGCAUUACUUGUCAUCAUAUACCACUUAUCUCAUCUCACGAUUGGACCUAUUGAAAUACAUUCUCCAGAAGCCCAUGCCAACAGGAAGGCUCACGAAAUGGAAAAUCUUGCUCACUGAGUUUGACAUUAUCUACGUGACUAUGAAUGCUACGAAGGCACAAGCAUUGGUGAACCAUUUAGUGGAGAAUCCAAUAGAUGAAGAUACGAGCCCUUGAACACAUAUUUCCAUGACGAGUAAGUGAUACAUAUCAAUGAAGUGGAACGGGAUGAGAAGACGGGAUGGAAACUGUUCUUUGAUGGUGCUGUCAACAUGAAAGGCGUUGGGAUAAGAGCGGUGCUCAUUUCUGAAGAAGGGAAUCAUUACCCAGUCACAUCUCAACUCCGCUUCUAUUGCACCAACAACAUGGCAGAAUAAGAAGCAUGUAUUCUGGGUUUGAGAUUAGCAGCGGACAUAGGUGUCCAGGAAGUCUUGGUCUUGGGAGUCUCGGACCUUCUAGAACAUCAGAUUCAAGGGGAGUGGGAAACAAGAGAUAUAAAACUCAUACCACAGCGGCAAUGCUUACAUGAUCUCUGUCAACGAUUCCGGUCAAUAGAGUUCAGGCACAUCCCUAGAAUUCACAAUAAGGUUGCUGACGCCAUGGUUACUUUGGCGUCAAUGUUACAUUAUCCGCACAAGACUUAUGUUGAUCCGAUACAUAUCCGGGUCCAUGAUCAACAUGAUUAUUGCAAUAUGGUGGAAGAAGAGAUUGACAGCGAAACUUGGUUCCACGACAUCCAGGAGUAUAUCAUGAGAGGUGUGAACCAUGUACAAGCCACGAGUGACCAGAAGAGAACAAUCCGUCGUUUAUCAAGUGGGUUUUUCUUCAGCGGAGGAAUACUAUACAAAAGAACGCCAUAUCUUGGUUUGCUCAGAUGCAUUGAUGUUGGAUAGGCGACAGCUAUCAUGAAUGAGAUGCAUGCUGGUGUAUGAAGGCCAUACAUGAGCGGGUAUGUUUUUGCAAAGAAGAUUCUCCAAGAAGGACAUUAUUGGCUCACCAUGGAGUAAGAUUAUAUCAGCCAUGUGCGCAAAUGCCACCAGUGUCAGGUACACGGAGAACUAAUUCACUCUCCUCUGUCUGAAUUGCAUACAAUGUCGGCACCAUGGACUUUCGUUGCUUGGGGCAUGGAUGUCAUCGGGCCCAUUGAGCCAGCAACUUCUAAUAGACACAGAUUUACCCUGGUUGCUAUUGACUAUUUCACCAAAUGGGUUGAAGACAAGACCUUUAAAGCAGUGACCAAGAAGGUCGUGGUCAACUUUGUUCACACAAACAUCAUUUGUCGGUUCGGGAUCCCCAAGACUCUCAUCACUAACAAUGGGGAAAAUCUCAACAAUCACUUAAUGAGAGAGGUGUGUCAACAGUUCUAGAUCACACAUCGAAAUUCUACCCUGUACCGCCCCAAGGAGAACAGAGCAGUUGAGGCGGCCAAUAAGAACAUAAAGAAGAUACUAUGUAAAAUGGUGGAAAAUUCCAGGCAGUGGCAUGAGAAGCUGCCUUUUGCAUUGUUAGGCUAUCUCACGACUGUCUACACCUCGGUAGGGGCCACUCUGUACUUGUUGGUGUAUGGAACAGAGGCUGUAAUCCCGGCAGAAAUUGAAAUCCCCUCUCUUCGAAUCGUGGCCGAAGUAGGAAUCUACGACAAAGAAUGGGUCGGAGCUUGUUUGGGACAAUUGAGUCUGAUUGACGAGAAAAGCUUGGCGGCAGUCCGCAACCGCCAGUUGUGUCAACGAAGGAUGGCCAAGGCAUAUAAUAAGAGAGUACGCCCCAGAAAGUUCGAAGUAGGUCAAUUGGUAUUAAAACGCAUCCACCCUCACCAGGCCGAGGCAAAGGGCAAGUUCGCUCCAAACUGGCAAGGACCAUUCAUCAUAUCAAGAGUAUUAUCCAAUACAGCAUUGUAUCUGACGGAUGUGGAAGGAAAAUGUGUGGAAAUGGCUAUCAAUUCGGACGUUGUCAUAAUAUAUUAUGUAUGAUUUUCUUUUAGAUCAUUGACAAAUGUUUAUACUUGGCAUAUUUUAAAAUUUUAAUGAUGAAGGCAUUUUAUUCUGCUAUAUAAAUACUCCAACCUUUGCUAACCUCUUUGAGCUUAAGUUAUUUUCUUUUCAUACCCCUCUUUCGAAAUCAAUUACCAAAUUCGAAAGCAUAAGUGUGAGAAAGCAAUAAAAGGAAAAAGAAAAAAAUCAUGAAAAGAAUGGAAAAGGAAAAAAAAGAACGGAAAAGAAAGAAAAGAAAGAGAAAAAGAAAGAAAUGAGAAGAAUAAAAACAAUGAAUUAAAAGAAAAGAGAAAAGAAAAAAGAAAAAACAACAAACAAAAUAAAACAAAGAGAAAAGGAAAAGAAAAGAAAGAAAACAAAACAAAACAAAAAAAAGUAGAAAAAGAACAACAAAAACAAGGAAUCGAUAUGAACUACAUUUAACCUGAUUCCUUUUAAAAGGAUACGUAGGCAGCCUCACGGUUCGGUCUCAUCAAAAUAAAAAUCCAAACGUCCCUAAGUAAGAGACUGGGGCAGAAUUGAUGGUUGUUGUAAAAAUGGGAUUCCGAAAGUGGUAAUUCUGAACUCAUUUGAAUUGUUUUGAGCCUUUGAUAUCUUUCCUUUCUAACCCUAUCCAAAAGCCCAUGUUGCGGUCCUAAGAAAGACCUUCUGAUCAGUCUUCAAAAUAUGCCAAUUUGAGCAAGUAGAAGUGAUUCAUGUCAGUGACAACACUCCGAGAUAGGCAAGAGAGAUAAUAAAACGAGAGAGUCUUAUUGGUGAAAACCUUCACGAGAACCAUCAGGUGACGAGAGUUUGAGAGAAUAAAUGAGAGAGUCUUAUUGGUGAAAACCCUCGCGGGAACCAUAAGGCGAUGCAAGUUGAGAAAAUAAAUGAGGGAGGCUCAAUUGGUGAGAACCUUCACAAGCACCCUAAAGCGAAAGUGAGGCAAAAAGCAAAACCCAGAAAGGGGUUGUCAGUGGAUGAACAUUGUAAGGCAAGCCAAGUUACGGUUUGGUUGAAGAAACCGGGUUAGAAGGGUCACAACAACAAAAAACACGGCAACAGAAGGUCGGUCAUCGAAACGGAUUGGGUCGACUAGGACGAAGUGCAUGUCAUGAUCAUGAAAACCAGUUGUUUUCUUUAGAUAAGUCUUUUUUCUUUUCUUUCAACAGUCAGGGAGUCUGGAAUUCUUUACCCUAAAUACCAUUUGGAGUCUUUGCAUUUCAUCUUUCUUUCGAGUCUAUAAAGUUUUUGUUUAAGCAAAUGAGAGGGACUUCAAAGCCGAUUAUCCAUUCCCAAAGGGACAAAGUGCAUGACGCCCAAAAGCGUAAUAAAGAUAACAAGUGGGGAACAGCAAGGGGAAGGCUUCAUAAAAAUUUCAACUGAGGGAAGAGACAAGAGUCGGGAGAGUUAAGGAGUACCACAUGAAAAGGGGCAUGCGAAGUAAAAUCAAAAAGUUUCUAGGGUUAGCGAGCAUCAUACACCGAUUGAGCUAUCUCAGAUAGGACGUAAAGUUGGCAUAACACGAAGACGGGAAAGGCUGCAAGUUUGCAAGGUUUGACUAAGCAUAAUACAUCAGUCGUCGGAGAAAGACAUAAAGAAUUCCAGCAAAGGAUCAAGAGCUCAACACAAGGUGGGGAGCAAAGUGAGGACAUAAAAGAUCAGAAGUCAGCCAAGCAUCACAAAUGGACCAAGUAAUCUCAAGAAAAGGGGUAAGGAGUUUUGGCAAAGGCUAGGAAAUGAGACGCCAAGAUGAGAAACAAAACAAAGCCACAAGGGUCAGAGGAUCAACCAAGUAUAACAUAUUAACUCAACAAUCCUCCGAGAGGGGUAUAAGGCUUCUGAUAAAAGAGUAAAAAACACAACACAAAGGUGGAAAUGGCCAUGAGAGCUGACCCAGCAUGAUAUAUCAACUCAUCAAUCAUCAGGGAAGGAUAUAAAGAAUUCUGGCAAGGGAUUAAUAAUGCAACACAAUGAUGGGAGGAAAAAUAAAACCUAGAGGUAUCGAGGGGUCAGCUAAGCAGUUCAAGCGACUCAUCGUCAAUUUGGGCAAUGGAACACAACGGAACACGACAAUGGGGAGGCCGCUUUCAACAAGAAUGUCGCGAGCCAACCAUCAACACAAGGGCACAAAAUUUUUAGAAAGCCUAAGGGAGGCCGUCUACAGGAGAAGGCAGGUACACGGCGGGUAUGGUCAAAAUCUCAGGGCUCACCUGGAAGAGGGAUUUAGUUAAACUCAAAGGGACAUAGUCCAACCUAAACACACUCCCCAACAAAGAGCACAAGGGGAUAAAACUUUAACCAGCAAACCCCAAAAGAAACAGCCGAGGGCUAAAAGAGACAUAGAAGUUAAGAUGGAACGCAGUCUAAAACUCAAACAGGUGCGAGUGACAGGGGCAAGCACCAACACCUUCCCCAUUAAGAGUCGCAGAAGCCCUCCUGGACAAUAAUCACUUGCAAGAACAGCCAGAAGUUAGAAUUGGAAUUUAAGGCAGAACCUUCAGGACCCUCCUGAAAAAUGGGACUUAGAUUAGAUAUUUCCCCAACAAGAGUCAUCAAGACCCUCCUGAAAAAUGGGACUUAGAUUAGAUAUUUCCCCAACAAGAGUCAUCGGGGCCCUUCUGAAAAAUGGGACAUAGAUUAGAUGCUUCCCCAGCAAGAGUCGACAAGAGUUUUCAAGACCCCCCUGGAUAAUGGGACAUAGCCCUAAGUACUAACCCCCAGCAAACACAUCUUAUCAUCUAAUUAAGAGUUGUCAUGACCUGCCUAGAUAAUGGGAAGUAGUUUUAAUCACCAGUCACUAGUAGACCCCCCAUCAGACAUAACUCAAAACAAGACAUAGUGGAAAAUAAUACCUUCUACGAAAUUUAAAAUAGUCUUAAACUUUUCAUCAGUUAAGAAUUGUCAGGACCCUCUUGGAUAAUGGGACUUAGCUUAUGUUUAUAGAUAUUUGAUAAAGGGAUUUGAUUAACACUCACGAAUCCACUCAGCAUCAAACUGGGGCAGGAAGAAUUUUUGUGUUUCGUUUGUUUUGUUGUGAUUAGGAACACAUGCAGCAGUCUCAAGAAACAUCUCCAAGUCGCGAGAUUUGGUAUGAUAAUCAGGUGGGCAACCACCUGUAGAACAAGGGAAUUUUUUCAAAAUUUCAAGUUUUGGUAAUCAGGCGCUCACCUGUAGAACAAAGGAAUAUUUUCUAAAAUUUUAUGUUUUUGCAGUCAGGCGCCCACCUGUAGAACAUUGGAAUAUUUUUCAAAUUUUACGUUUUUGCAGUCAGGCUUCCACCUGUAGAACAAGGGAAUAUUUUUAUAAUUUUAAGUUUUGACUGUCUGGCGCCCACCAGUAGAACAAGGGAAUAUUUUUCAAAAAUCUUAUGUUUUUGCAAUCAGGCACCCACAUGUAGAACAAGGGAAUAUUUUUCAAAGUUUUAAGUUUUGCAAUCAGGCGACCACCUGUAGAAUAAGGGAAUAUUUUUCAAAUUUCUAGUUUUGGAAAUUAGGAGCCCACCUGUAGAAGAAGGAAAUAUUUCUCAAAAUUCAUGUUUCGAAAGUCAGGUGCCCACCUGUAGAACAAGGGAAUAUUUUUCAAAAUUUUAAGUAUUUGCAAUCAGGCGCCCACCUGUAGAACAAGGAAUAUUUUUCAGAAUUUUAAGUUUUUGCAAUCAUGCGCCCACCUGUAGAACAAGGGAAUAUUUUCAAAAAUCUUAAAUUUUUGCUAUUAGGCGUCCAUCUGUAGAACAAGGGAAUAUUUUUCAAAAUUUUAAGUUCUUGCAAUUAGGCGCUCACCUGUAGAACAAGGGAAUAGUUUUCAAAAUUUUAUGUCUUGACAAUCAGGCGCCCACCUGUAGAACAAGGGAAUAUUUUUUAAAAUUUUAUGUUUUGGCAAUCAGGCUCCCACUUGUAUAACAAGAGAAUACUUUUCAAAAAAUUUCAGGCUUUGGAAAUCAGGCACCCACCUGGAGAACAAGAGAAUAUCUAUUUCAAGUUCUAGUAGUCAGGCGCCCACCUGUAGAACGAGGGAAUGCUUUCAACGGAAUACAUGUCAAGUCCAACAAUUUGGCAUCAGACAUGAAGGAAGAAAAGGCAAGCAGUCAGCGAGGCCACAAGGUGUUCGCAGAAAGAAAUACAAGGCAACAAAGCAACAAGGAUCGAGAUUGAAGAUAGCAUCAAGGAAGAAAAGGCAAGCAGUCAACAAGGCCACUAGGAGUUCGCAUGAAGAAAUACAAGGCAACAAAGCAACAAGGAUCAAGAUCGAGAUUUAAGACGUAAAUAGGCUUUCCUUUGUAGCCCGUAUCUUAUAGGUUAGUCUAGUUUUCUUUUUGUUUUUCAUAUGGUAUAAUAAGGAGGUCACCAAGUAGUAACAGCAGCAUCAGUAGUGCAAUCACAGCUUCUGGUAGUCCCAGCUACCAAACACUGCAGAACUACACUGACAUGAUUCCUCUUUAGUCGAGGAUAUGUAGGCAAUCUUUGAAGCAGUAUUCGGUCAGACAGUUUUCAAAAUGCUUCUCAUGGAAUGCAAAGCAGGCAAAAAUCUCUCUGUUGCUCACUUAUCUUUGCCCGAAAAUCCUUCGUGUCUCCGAGAAAAGAGGGGCAACUAUGAGCACGUGAUUUUUGCCUCACUUGAAAUGUUCCUAUAAAUUCGUUAAACUAGGAUUUUUCUUUUAUUAUUUGAAUUGUUAGGAAUUAAUUAUGUGAUUUCGUAUUUAUUUGCAUUUUUUCUUUUAUUAUUUGAAUUUUUAGAAAUUAAUUGCAUGAUUUUGUGUUUAUUUUCAUUUUUCUUUCAUUAUUCGAAUUUUUACGGGAUAAUUGUGUGAUUUCAUGUUUAUUUGAAUUUUCCUUUAUUAAUUGUGUGAUUUUGUGUUUAUUUACUGCUUUCGUUUAUUAUUUUAAUAUUUAGAAGUUAAUUGCAUAAUUGUGUGUUUGUUUGCAUGUUGAGUGCAUUUUAAUACACAAAAAAUACAAAAAUGGCAUGGUUGCAUUUAGGAUUUAAUUUUUGCAUGUUUAGUAAUAUUAAAAAUGAGAAAAAUAACAAAAUUGGCUAUACCUACAUUUGCCUUAUUUUCGUUUGAAUUUUAGAAUUUAGGAUAUUGUAGAGAUUAAUUAGUUUAUUUUGUGGAGGAUAAAAUCUAUUUUGGUUUAUUUUUAUUUCUUUUUUUAAAUCUGAAAAAAAACAAAAUAAAAAAGGGAGAAGAACAAAUAAGUGUAUAGGCCUAGGUGUUCUAUAAGGCCAUAAUUUGGGCCACAUUCCCCAACCCAAACCAUAAACCCACUUAACCAGACCCAAGCUUGACUCCUUCCCAGUCCAAUAACACCAAGUCCAAAACGACGUCGUUGGACGCCCGUUAAUAUCAACCAUACAUACUCCUCGAUCCAACGGCUCAGAUUGAGCCUUACAUUUUCAAUAUAACUAUCCAAACCCCUGUAGUAGCACAAAUACCAAAGGUCACCCUCCUUGUACUAAUUUCCCACCGGUGUAACACCGCUACCAAUCCACCGUACCACCACCGUCCGCUGCCGGCAGAAAAUCACCGCCGCCGCCGGCAUAACUCCAAUAGCCUCCAAAUUUACACCCCAGAAUCCUUGUUGUCUCCUCUUCCCAACCCUUCUAAGAUCGCCCUUCGAAACCCACCCCAACCUGUCGAAUAUUUUUCCAAAGUUCGGCAUCUCCACCGUCCACGGCAGCGCCCGGUGACCAACGGCCCCCAAAUUAACACCAUGGGACCCCCUCACUCUCCUCUUCCAAACCCUACCAUCAGUCACCCUCAAACAUGACCCCAUCCCUUCGAAUGUUCACCUGAAGUAGGCAGGUCCGCCAUGGAAUGUGGUGGCUGGCCUCCUAUGGCCUCCAAUCUAUCACCACCCACCCCCUCUUGCCGUCCUCUAUCCAAAAACACACCCAAGCCUUCCCAAACAAAUCCAGACCCCUCUAAUCUUGAAACUGACCAUUCCUGAGGUCUGAGAUUGACCAUUGGAAGGACGUUUGAGUGUCACUUGGAAGCUUGACUUUAUUUCCACUAAGCUUAAUUGAAAAAAACUGGUAAGCUCACCCCAAUCCUAAUUUGUUUUUCUAUUUUUGUAAUUAAGUCUGACUUUGGUUUUUUAGUUUAAAAUGGCAUCUUAUUUGAUUUCAAUUCUUCUAUUUCUAUUCUGAUUGUGCAAAUGACUUGUUGGCUUCAUUUUAGUUGUGGAACUAGACACUAGGUUUUGGUUGCUCUCAAUAGUUUCCAUGUUUCCUGCAAUUUCGAUAGUAUUCUUGACCUCUGAAUGUGAGUAUUGGUUGGUGGUUCACAUGCAAUCAGAAUUUGGUAAUCGUAUAACAGCCUCAUAUUUGUCUUUGAUUUCAAAUAAUUUCUUGAUUACUGAAUUGACUGUCGAUUAAUAACUCACAUGGUUUAAGCUUGAUUUCUGAGUUUGAGUGUUCAAUUGUGUUAACAACGUGAUAGCUGCAGUUUUCCAUGUUCUUCUUCAAAAUUUUAGUAUUGACUGGAUUUCUAAUUUGAUUUCUAUGGAUUGAUUGGCAUUUGUUCUUUAUUAAUAGCAUUAGGAUUGGUUAUAGUUGUUAAGACUAGAAGAAUUAGUUUUAGUAGUUGGCUUUGAUACCAAAUACGUAAUUUCAGGGUAAUGUAGGGUUUUUCCCACCUAAUUUUGAUAAUUCUAAGAUAAAUAGGGAUAAUAUAGAAUUUUAGUGUAGUAUUUGCAAUUUUCAGAAUAAAAUAGGGGCACUAUAGAGUUUUCAACCUGGCUUUGGUAAUAUUAGGAACAAAGUAAGGAUAGUAUAGGUAGUCUAUAAAGGGAAGACAUUGGUAGAAGCCUUUAGACCCUUCUAGAAGGGGUCUUUAAUAUAAAAUCAGUAGUCUUAUUGCAUUAACUUGGGAAACAAGUCAAAAAAUGAGGGUCAAAGCAGGUAAAAUCUGGAAAUGGAAAGAGGGAACUUUAGUUAAAAAAAAAUAAAAGUGGUGCUCAAGCCUUUGUCUAUAAAAGGGACUGAAAAUUAUUCAAAAAGAGAGGUUGGACACUUUGAAAAAUCACUGAAAAUUUCCAACCAUAGUCAAAAAUUACUUUUCCAAUUCUUGCAAUGAUAACAAAAAGAUCAAAAAAUACAAUAGUCUAGUUGGGGCAAUUAGAAGCUUUUCCCUCAAAUCUAGGCACUUUAGGAAUCCAAAAAUCUGUUGAAAAUCAGCAAAUACUGUUCCAUUGAAGGUCCAGCUAUUUUCAGAGUUUAUUUUGGUCUUUGUUUUGAGAUUUGCUUCACUUACUUGGUUUUAACUGUUUCCUAGAGUCCCUAGGUCAGACUGUAAGUCGUUUGGGGUCACUUGAAGUUUGUUGUGGUUCAAAUUUUGUCUUGAGUGCAAAGUUGGGCUGUUAGAUUGGUCUUAUUGCUGUGUGGUUGUUUGUUUUCAACUGCUGGGGUGCUUAAAAUUGCUGCUGACCUUCCUUCUUCUUAUUUAAAUUCAAUUUCCAUGUACACAUUCUAACUCUUCAAGAUGUAAAGGGGAUUCGACGAUGGAAUGAAAAGCAUAUUUUCCCAGUUCUUGUUCAUUAGAAUCCGUUAUUUUAGCAUGUUUUUUUUUUUGGGAUGUAUACUUGGAUAUUGAAUAUUAGAUUCGAACAAGGUAGAGUAGCUUGAUCAUGCCCUCAUAAUUUUUAGUCGGGAUGUUAGAAUCAUGUUGGUCGUAUAACGUAGCGGUGAUGGUAUGGAUUUAAAUUUGAGGGCCACUCAGAUCCAAUCUGGGAUCCAUAAUUCUUGCUACGUGGUCCAAUUCUGAUCGGUAAUAAAUACCGGGACUUUGCAAUAUUUGAUUGAUCACAAUUCUAAUAACUGGCUGUUUUGAUCCUUUGAACAACUCGAUGAAUUUAGUAGAUCGUUUUAGGAGGUCCUAAUGACUAUAGAUCGAACCUAUCCAAUUUUUACAGUACAAUGGUUGGCUGUUCACGGCCUAGCUGUACCUACCGUGUUUUUGGGAUCAAUAUCAACAAUGCAGUUCAUCCAACGAUAAACUUAAUCCGAAUUAUAGAGCUACGGCACAAUCAAACUCGAACGAACAAAAUGUUGAAUUGAAUCGUACCAGUCUCUACUGGGUGUUAUUACUCAUUUUUGUACUUGCUGUUUCAUUUUCCAAUUAUUUCUUCAAUUAUGAAAACGAAAGAGAAUCAAUAAGAUUCUCUUAGCUCAUUCGGAAGGAUCUCAUAAUUUAAUUAUCCAUGACUGUUUAUGUCUCUAGCAUGACCACUUGAUGAAAUCUGGAGGGAAGUGGGGUAAAUGGCCGAUACUACUAGAAGGAUUCCUCUUUGGAUAAUAGGUACUGUAGCUGGUAUUCUUGUAAUCGGUUUAAUAGGUAUUUUCUUUAUGGUUCAUAUUCCGGAUUGGGUUCUAUAUAAAAUGGUGGAUGUACAAAUCCACAACGGAUCCUGUCCUUCAAGUCGCACGUUGCUUUCUACACAUCGUUACAAACGAAGUUUUACCAUAACAUUCCUCUAAGAACCGGUAUG